CCUACGGGAGGCAGCAGUGGGGAAUUUUGGACAAUGGGCGCAAGCCUGAUCCAGCCAUGCCGCGUGCGGGAAGAAGGCCUUCGGGUUGUAAACCGCUUUUGUCAGGGAAGAAAAGGUUCUGGCUAAUACCUGGGACUCAUGACGGUACCUGAAGAAUAAGCACCGGCUAACUACGUGCCAGCAGCCGCGGUAAUACGUAGGGUGCAAGCGUUAAUCGGAAUUACUGGGCGUAAAGCGUGCGCAGGCGGUUAUGCAAGACAGAGGUGAAAUCCCCGGGCUCAACCUGGGAACUGCCUUUGUGACUGCAUAGCUAGAGUACGGUAGAGGGGGAUGGAAUUCCGCGUGUAGCAGUGAAAUGCGUAGAUAUGCGGAGGAACACCGAUGGCGAAGGCAAUCCCCUGGACCUGUACUGACGCUCAUGCACGAAAGCGUGGGGAGCAAACAGGAUUAGAUACCCUGGUAGUCCACGCCCUAAACGAUGUCAACUGGUUGUUGGACGGGUUCUUGCUGUACGUAGACUAAGCUAGAGUUGAACGUCGCGGCGUGGGCGUCGACGUGAAGUUAGAGUUAUUAGAGNGUUGNGNGNGNGAGNGACGACGAGGAGAGAGG
rnacentral:rRNA from 1 species